rnacentral:rRNA from 1 species
GACGAACGCUGGCGGCGUGCUUAACACAUGCAAGUCGAACGGAAAGGCCCUGCUUUUGUGGGGUGCUCGAGUGGCGAACGGGUGAGUAACACGUGAGUAACCUGCCCUUGACUUUGGGAUAACUUCAGGAAACUGGGGCUAAUACCGGAUAGGAGCUCCUGCUGCAUGGUGGAGGUUGGAAAGUUUCGGCGGUUGGGGAUGGACUCGCGGCUUAUCAGCUUGUUGGUGGGGUAGUGGCUUACCAAGGCUUUGACGGGUAGCCGGCCUGAGAGGGUGACCGGCCACAUUGGGACUGAGAGACGGCCCAGACGCCUACGGGAGGCAGCAGUGGGGAAUAUUGCACAAUGGGCGGAAGCCUGAGGCAGCAACGCCGCGUGCGGGAUGACGGCCUUCGGGUUGUAAACCGCUUUCGCCUGUGACGAAGCGUGAGUGACGGUAAUGGGUAAAGAAGCACCGGCUAACUACGUG